rnacentral:rRNA from 1 species
CCUACGGGUGGCAGCAGUGGGGAAUAUUGCACAAUGGGGGAAACCCUGAUGCAGCGACGCCGCGUGAGUGAAGAAGUAAUUCGUUACGUAAAGCUCUAUCAGCAGGGAAGAAAUACUGACCUUACGGUCAGCAGACGGUACCUGAGUAAGAAGCCCCGGCUAACUACGUGCCAGCAGCCGCGGUAAUACGUAGGGGGCAAGCUUUAUCCGGAUUUACUGGGGGUAAAGGGAGCGUAGACGGUGCGCCAAGUCUGGAGUGAAAUGCCGCGGCUUAACUGCUGAACUGCUUUGGAACCUGGCGAACUAGAGUGCGGGAGAGGUAAGCGGAAUG